UACGAAGGGGGCUAGCGUUGCUCGGAAUCACUGGGCGUAAAGCGCACGUAGGCGGAUUGUUAAGUCAGGGGUGAAAUCCUGGAGCUCAACUCCAGAACUGCCUUUGAUACUGGCGAUCUCGAGUCCGGGAGAGGUGAGUGGAACUGCGAGUGUAGAGGUGAAUUCGUAGAUAUUCGCAAGAACACCAGUGGCGAAGGCGGCUCACUGGCCCGGUACUGACGCUGAGGUGCGAAAGCGUGGGAGCAAACAGG
rnacentral:rRNA from 1 species